rnacentral:tRNA from 1 species
GCUGGCUGGCUCAGUCAGUAGAGCUAGCGACUCUUAAUUGCAGGGUCAUGGGUUCAAGCCCUAUGUCGGGCA